CCCUCGUAAUAGGGCCCAUGCAGCAGGGGUGUCUUGCUGUCCUACUAAGAGUUAUGCUGCUUUCUUCGGGAGGCUCUGACUCUGGAGCCCUCUGCACAGGCUCUCUGGAGCGGGCCUGCACUGGCUGGCUCGCUGGGGUGGGGAGCCAUGCAGGGUUUACAGGCCCUGACCCAGGCUCUAAGGCUACCUUAGACACAUUGUGGCUACAGAUCCCAGGGAUUAGUAAGGCCAAAAGGGCCCUGGCAUUGAGUCAAGCAUCUGCCCUGGGCACGUGGACACACGGGGGCCUGGCUCCCAGGCUCCUGAGGGCUUGCACCUGGGAGCACUGCUCUCUGCUCCUGGGCCUUGGGGCUGUGCCAAACAGCCGAGUCCAGAACAAGAGGCCCUGUGGUGUGGAGCUGAAAAGGAUGACGUCACCCAGACUGAGGCCCUGGGCCGGGAUGGGCUCAUUAGCCGGGAAGCCGGCACCUGCAGGGCUCGAGGAUUUCCCGUGGUUGCCCCGUGAUGGAUCUUCGCUCGUCUCCUGAGGCCUGAAGUUACUCCGCUGGCGCUCCCCAGCACCUGAGGAACAGAGCUGGAGUCAGAUUCUCCGCUUUGGGAUUUGCAGCCCUUGCCUGUGGCAGGUGAAUGAACAGAAGGAACUGGAAAAUGGCAGUUACAGGACAAGGAGAUGCGAGAGCUUCCCGAGGAAGCGGAGAUGAGGGAGCAGCGUUUGGAGAGGGCACAGUCUGCAGCGGGCCAGCUCGAGGACUGAGGCCCUGUCUCUGAGCUUCCCUGAUGACCCCUCCUUUGCACUCAGUCUUGCUUGGCACACCCACCUCUCUUUGCGUUUGAAGCUUCUGAGAACAAAGAAGACCAGGCAAUCUCUUCAAGAUGCCCCCCUGACUGUUUUGGCAGUGGAGUGGCCAGUGAUUCCUGCUGGGGGUCCUCUUCCUAUGGGAGCUUCCUGGGAGUCACCACCGGAAAACUAGAGCCCUGGGUCACAGAUGAGAUCCCUCUGCUUUCACACACAUGUUUUAAAAACAACGAUGCAAAGUGAUCAUCACAAUAGAUCCUGGGGUUCAGAGGAAAUUGAACUGCUGCUCUAAAACCUCGUGCUACAGGAUGCCUGGUGGUGGGGAGCACUUUUGGCCAUAAGAACCCUUAAGCCGAAAGCCCCAGACUGAGGCACGUGUUGUUUUGAGAGGUGAACAGGUCACCCCUGCAUGGUCUUAGGUCCCUCUGCUACCUGCUGGCACAUCAAUCAGAGAUGAGAUUUGCAGGCAGAGAGGUGCAAGUUCAAGUUUCAGCUUCACUACUUGAUUUGGGCAAGUGGUUUGACCUCUCUAAGCCUCAAUUUCCUAAUCUGUAAAAAGAGGACAAUACUUCACUCAGAAGGCUGCUUCAAAGAUUCACUUGAGAUAGGCACACCAUUUAAUCACCACCCAAUAAAUGGUAACAAGGAUGGUGCCUUUAGAUGAUGAUAAUGUUAAAUAGUACCUACAACUACACCAGUGAAUUGGUGGUCUUGACACUGUGGCAAGACUUUAACCAGCUUCAUUAACCUCUGACCUCAUCUGUCCCUUAGCCUCAUUUAAAUUAGACCCAGUGACCAGCAAUUCUCAAUCUCCAUCUCCAUCAGUCUCCAUCAGCCUGAGCUUCCACAGUCACAGCAUCUUCUGAAUGGUUCUACUGGAAGUGACCAGAUCCCACCUGGCUGCUGGCUCAUCUGAAACACAGCCAGUAGGUCUCCUUCCUAGGAUGAUUUCUUGGGCAAGGAGUUGAGAGCAGGAGGAGGGGCUGAGGUCCCUGGAAGAAGGAUGGGCCACUCUGUUUUGGGGCUGCUUCCUGAGAAGUUGGGCCCUCUGCUUGGGAGUUGGCUCAGACCUACGCCUGGCCUCUCAGCCUCCCAGGGAGCCUGCUCCAUGCAGGACAUGUGACCAGCCCUUUGCACUUUGUGCCCCUUGCCCACUCACAGCCAACCCUUUCACACCUCAAUUAGCCACUUAGGGAAAAGAAAGAGCGAGAGCAAGCUGGGGAAAUCUGUCCAGACCAUGAUGAAUACUUUCCCAAGCCUGCUGUUGCCAUGGCAGCCAGCUGGGAACACCGUUUCUAGGGCCUGAGGCGCUCAGACAUGCAUGGGGGGGCUGCCCUGCUGGGCUGCUGCCCACUUGCCUUCCCCCACCCUGGCCUCCUGGCUCCCUUAGCAACAGCCAUCACUAUUGCCAUCGCAACCACCACUGCAGCUCUGCACUGGCCGUGAGCAGUGUCCACGGAGCUCCAGGGGGAAGGUCUGCCUGAUCCUAAAGCUCAUGUUCCACACGGAGGAGGUUUUCAAAGGUGUUUCCCAAUCCCAAUGCUGGGGCUGGAUGUGGUGGAGCAGAAGCAGACGAGCCCUGAACUUGGUGCUGCCCCUCACCGAGUGUGGAGAAAUAAGAAAACCUGACAGGCGGAACCAGGCUUUGAUCAUGCAUUGUUGUCACAACGGAAUGGAUGCGUGACACGAAGAUGCCAAAAAAAUAAAGCAGUGAUUUCCCGACAGUUCCGUGAACUCUGUUAUGGAUCAGGAGACUGAGGCUACAGAGGAGAAGGGAACUGCUCACAGUGACCCCGCUGCUUACAGGAAACCACAAAGACAGGAAGAUGGCUCGAGACAUAUGGUGGAAACCAAUUAAAACCAGUUGAAGGCAACAUGGCAGUCUGAGUUGACCUGACAUAGACCCCGCAGCUCAUUAUACACUCACUGUGAUAUAUUACCAUGCUCCGUAACACACCCACCAAUGCCAUGACAGUUUGUAACCAAAUAAGGAAAGAAAAGAGGUGGCAUCCUUGUUCCCCUGAAAAGCCUGCCCAUUUCCCCAAAUAACUAUGAAUAUUCCUCCUCUUCAUUACCUUGACCCCUGAUAACAACUGCUUAAUGGCCCCAAGAGCUGAGAAGUUGGUUUGUUAACUUAAGUUCCCACUUCUCCAUUCAUGGCCAUUGAAUAAAGCUUGUUCUGUUGAAUGCUCAGCUUUGGUUUCGCUUCAAAUCCACGACACUGAACAGGAAAGACCCUUCUGAGGAAGGGAAGGAUUGUGGGUACAAGGCCCACCCAUGGGCCUCUGCUCAGAGCUCCUCUGAAUGUGGGUUGGAGUCCCACCGGAGUGAGGUGAAAUUGCUAACACUUUCCUCUUGCCAAAGAGAACUCCCUGCAAAGCAAUAAAAUGGCAGUGAGCUUUGAAGAGGGCUUUCUAACCACCAAGAAGCCAGUCCUGGAUUUUGAUGCUGUGUCAUUUAGCACAGUUCCUUUCCCACCAACUGUCUGCUAUGACACCAUGGAGCUAAGUAGCAGAGCUGCUGAAAUAACAGUCACGGGAGAGGGAAAUUAAGACACAUCAGCAAGGGAAAAAGAUUCUUUUAAGCAAGGAGGGGAAUAGGACAGCAACCGAUGAAACAGAAGCAAGAUGUCUGUUCCAGGUGGAGAGAGGCAGAGAAGUCUUUUGUGUGGCAGCUGAGUCAGAGAUGCAACAGAGAGUGCAACAGCCUGCAUUAACGUGGAGCUUAUCAUAAACAUUCACUUAUUGAUCACAUUGCCACCCUAUGCGAAGAGGCUCAUAGGAACCUUUAUUUGACUCUAGGGGGCUAAGCACAUGGCUUACGAGCUUGGAAGUUCUGACUCUUUAAUUUCAACAAGAGAAGGCUGGAGUGGAGGAGAAGAGAAAAGGCCACAGGGAGGGUUAAUUUGCCUGCUUGACGCCUGUCAUUUCACAUGUGAGAAAGAGUGGUGAGUUCUCAUAAGGAAGGGCAGACACGCAUCUAUUACUCCAUUACAAUGCUUUUUGACAAGGCUGUGCAUCUCAAGCCAAUGUAUUUGGUCCAAAGACACAGCAAUGGGUUUUCCAGGUGGAGGAGGGCAAUGUCGAGCAGGUACUUGGCACGAAUGUUUAAGUAGGGAACGGUUGUAAUAAGACCCCGCCGUGCUUUCAGCCCGAGUGACUGCUGCUCUGCAGCAGGAACAUCUAUCACUGGCAGGGAGCAGCGUGUCUACCUCCCUGUCACCUGCCUCAUGUCUAAAAGAGACACUAAAGAUCUGGCCACGGUGGGGUCCAUGUCUCCUGGCUCAUGUUGCGAUUUGUCUAGGAGCAUGAUGAAUAUGCACGUUUCCUCUGACAUAAUCUUUUCUCCUCCUUGGACAGGCAUCUACACAUGUCCCCUUGUCUCUCCCCAAGUCUCCAAAUGGAGGAAUGUUCUCAAAAGAAGGUCUUGAUUCUCGCUGUACUUUCUUCUCUCUGUCCUCCUCCUUUCUUCCCCAACCCUCACCCUUUCCAGUAACCCCCACGGAGUGAAAGUCUCCCUGUCAGUCUGAUAGCCACUGUUAACAAGGGUGUUCUGUGAGCCUGCAUGCUGCCUGGCCAUGAUCUAUUCUUCUUUGUGCAUCAGAGGGGUCCAAGACUCCCCCACAGGUAAUUGAGAAAAUUGACGUGCCCGUUACUAGUGAUGUGAACUUACAAACCCUGGGACUCACUGAUUAGAAUCAAAUUCUUCUCAAGCUGGAUGACCUUCAGAAUUACACAAUGUUAGAGCUUGAAAGGGUCUUAAAGAUUUUCACCUAAACUCCUUCUUUAAUAGAAGAGGAACCUGAAGUGCAGAGACGUGACAGGAAUUGUCACUUAAAGUUACUCCUUCCUCAACGUUCUUCCCACUACUCCAACUCAUCUUUACCUCACUCUACCCUCACUCGUAGGUAGAACUGCUUUUAAGCCAUCUCUCCUCUUUCUAAACCUCUUAUAAGGGAAAGUGGUUUUAAGCUUGGUAUGUAGAAGAUGAUCAAAGCAUCACUUAAUCUCUUAAGACAGGACAUGCUAUCCUAACAUCAGGAAAGUCUUUCCAUCUAACUUUUAUUUGUUUUGCUGCCAUGUUUCCUAAACUUUUUCAGUAAAUAGAGAGGAGAGGAGUCCCACCCUUAUGUAUUUUCCCAUAGGUGUCAAAUAGGCAAAUUUAUCCUCCCUGUGGUCUUGUCUCUUCUCCUCUGGUCUUGCCUUUUCUUGUUGAAGUUAACAAAUCAUAACUUCCACAUGCAUAGGCCGUAUUCUUAGCCUCCUAAAGUCAAAUAAAGGUUAGUCCAUUGGAGAACUGACUCUUUGCCUAAUGACAAAAAAGUAAUAUCGAUAAAAGCUUUCUCUUUUAUUUCAUGCCAAAGUUCAGGUUGAUUUAUAGGCUAGAUCCAGCCUGGCUUCUGGCACUCAAGCAUGUCAGAGAGGAAAACUGGGACAGAGAGCAAAAUAGAGAGCCUCAUAAGUGGGGGCUGUAGAAUAAACAUGUAGUAGGCAAGUUUCGGGAGAGCUCCCCAAUUUUGUACUCUGUAGUUCUUGAUAUGUGCCCAUAAGCAUCUUAAAAAGCAUUUGAGAAACUGCCAAAAAGCCAAGCUAAAAAUACCCUUGGAACAGCGUAAUCAAGAAGAAGUACAGAGAUGGGUGUGAGCUCUCCAUGGAAGGUGUGAGACUCAGAGCAUGGGAGCCAGACUGCAGUGCACAUCUCAGGCUCUUGUCUAGGGGACUGAACCAUGAGGCAGUCUGAUGUGCUUGGGGAGGAAUGGAUGCAUCUGCUUUCAGACUCUGUUUUCUUUUUGAAUCAGUCCAGCCCAAUAGUGUAGCAAGCGUGUCUAAUGAGCACCUAUUAUGUGCCUUAGGAUUAAAAGUGUGAAAACACACCCACUCCUCAGGAGAGUUUGAAACCUUCUGAUGACUCCCCAUUGCCCUUUGUAACACUUAUAAUUUGGCUUGAAUGGCUUCUGGGUUCUCUGUCUAACUCAGUUUCAGGAUCCUACUUCUUCUAACACUUAAUCAUGUGUCUCUGACAAAUAUUUUCUCUAAUCUUCUUUUUCCAGUUAUGAACCUUCUGUUCCCAAUUAUUGGGAACAUUUUACCGUCAGCACAUUCCCUCCCUCUCUCCUGGGGCUUCCACCAGUAGUUUAAAAAUACUCAGACUCUUGCUUUCUGGGAAUAGGAUCCCACUUCUUUAACCUUUCUACCCAAGAUAUUUCCAAACUUCAUAAGCCUUCCCUCAAGCUUCUCUUAACUUGGGGAGCAAAGAAUUGGCCAGAAGAGUGAUGGUGAGUGUGGG
ensembl:lncRNA